GGGAUUUGGGGCAGGACCUGUGGGAUUUUGGGGGAAAUUUGGGGGAUUUGGGAUGGGACAAAGGGAUUUAGGAUGAAAUCUGAUGAUUUUGGGGUGAAAUUUGGGGGAUUUGGGGUGAAAUCUGAUGAAUUUGGGGUGAAUUUUGAGGGAUUUAGGGUGAAAUCUGAUGAAUUUGGGGUGAAUUUUGAGGCAUUUGGGGUGAAAUCUGAUGGAUUUGGGGUGAAAUUUGAUGAUUUUGGGGUGAAUUUUAGGGGAUUUGGGUUGGAAU